rnacentral:rRNA from 1 species
UGCAAGUCGAGCGGUAGAGAGAAGCUUGCUUCUCUUGAGAGCGGCGGACGGGUGAGUAAUGCCUAGGAAUCUGCCUGGUAGUGGGGGAUAACGUUCGGAAACGGACGCUAAUACCGCAUACGUCCUACGGGAGAAAGCAGGGGACCUUCGGGCCUUGCGCUAUCAGAUGAGCCUAGGUCGGAUUAGCUAGUUGGUGGGGUAAUGGCUCACCAAGGCGACGAUCCGUAACUGGUCUGAGAGGAUGAUCAGUCACACUGGAACUGAGACACGGUCCAGACUCCUACGGGAGGCAGCAGUGGGGAAUAUUGGACAAUGGGCGAAAGCCUGAUCCAGCCAUGCCGCGUGUGUGAAGAAGGUCUUCGGAUUGUAAAGCACUUUAAGUUGGGAGGAAGGGCCAUUACCUAAUACGUGAUGGUCUUGACGUUACCGACAGAAUAAGCACCGGCUAACUCUGUGCCAGCAGCCGCGGUAAUACAGAGGGUGCAAGCGUUAAUCGGAAUUACUGGGCGUAAAGCGCGCGUAGGUGGUUUGUUAAGUUGGAUGUGAAAUCCCCGGGCUCAACCUGGGAACUGCAUUCAAAACUGACUGACUAGAGUAUGGUAGAGGGUGGUGGAAUUUCCUGUGUAGCGGUGAAAUGCGUAGAUAUAGGAAGGAACACCAGUGGCGAAGGCGACCACCUG